GCUUACGGCCAUACUCUCUCUGGUCUCUGCCUGAUCUCGUCUGAUCUCCGAAGCUAAGCAGAGUAGGGCCUUGAUAGUACUGGAGAGAAGACCCGCCUGGUAUCCUCGAGGUGCCGUAAGCU
ensembl:rRNA 5S_rRNA 5S ribosomal RNA